GUUUUUUCAGCGUUCGGACAGAAGGAUUUGAUAAAAUGAAAAUCUGUCUACUUAAAACAUGCUAUAGGACAUAAGAACUUAUCACACAAAAUUUGGAGCUGAUAACUAUUUUUGUUCUUGAGUUAUUCUUUCCGCAAACUCUUGUUCGUCUCGUGGUUUUUGGCCGUUACCAUGGCAACUAUUUAAUGUAGUUCACUCCAAGUGAUCGUAAAACUGUAUAUUCAUUAGAUCUUGCAUUUUGCCAAGUUUCAUGGUAAUUGGUUGCAUUGUUUAAAAAUUAGAGCCAAAUGAGUGUUUUAGGAAAUUUAGGAUAGAC